rnacentral:rRNA from 1 species
UACGGAGGGUGCAAGCGUUAAUCGGAAUUACUGGGCGUAAAGCGUGCGCAGGCGGUUUGUUAAGUCUGCUGUGAAAUCCCCGAGCUCAACUUGGGAAUUGCAGUGGAUACUGGCAGGCUGGAGUAUGGUAGAGGAAGGUGGAAUUCCCGGUGUAGCAGUGAAAUGCGUAGAGAUCGGGAGGAACACCAGUGGCGAAGGCGGCCAGCUGGGAUACACCUGACGCUGAGACACGAAGGCGUGGGGAGCGAACGGG